rnacentral:rRNA from 1 species
UAAUGGCAGGUCAGCAUACUGCCGUGAAUACGUUCCCGGGCCCUUGUACACACCGCCCGUCACACCAUGAGAGUUGGAAAUACCCGAAGCCUGUGAGCUAACAGUAAUGAGGCAGCAGUCGAAGGUAGAGCCAAUGAUUGGGGUGAAGUCGUAACAAGGUACC